rnacentral:rRNA from 1 species
UACGUAGGGUGCAAGCGUUAAUCGGAAUUACUGGGCGUAAAGAGCUCGUAGGCGGUCUGUCGCGUCGGUCGUGAAAACUUGGGGCUUAACCCUGAGCUUGCGGUCGAUACGGGCAUGACUGGAGUUCGGCAGGGGAGACUGGAAUUCCUGGUGUAGCGGUGGAAUGCGCAGAUAUCAGGAGGAACACCGAUGGCGAAGGCAGAUCUCUGGGCCGUAACUGACGCUGAGGAGCGAAAGCGUGGGGAGCGAACAGG